GAGCUUUCGAAGGGUGCUAUCCUCCUCCCGGCCCCCUUCGAUUACGAUCGGCGAUCCUCCUCCUCCCAAAUCGCCGAUCACCACGAUGACGCCCACCGGAUCCUCCUCCCCCGGUGGGCGUUUUCA
rnacentral:sRNA from 1 species